AAGCCAGAGAAAAAGAAAAAGAAAAAGAAAAAGAAAAAGAAAAAGAAAAAGAAAAAGAAAAAGAAAAAGAAAAAGAAAAAGAAAAAGAAAAAGAAAAAGAAAAAGAAAAAGAAAAAGAAAAAGAAGAAAGAGAGAAAGAAAAAAGAGAGAAAGAAAAAGGGAAAAAGAAAGACGCAGAGAAAAAGAAAGAAAGAGAAAAGGAAAGAAAAAGAAAAAGAAAAAGAAAAAGAAAAAGAAAAAGAAAAAGAAAAAGAAAAAGAAAAAGAAAAAGAAAAAGAAAAAGAAAAAGAAAAAGAAAAAGAAAAAGAAAAAGAAAAAGAAAAAGAAAAAGAAAAAGAAAAAGAAAAAGAAAAAGGAAAAGAAAGAAAUGAGAAAAAAACACCAAAGCAAUGCCCAAGCAGUUCUGCUUGCUUUUCUCUUUAUUAACCAAAGCACAUCAAUUUUCCUCCAUUCUGUAAUGUCUUUUCCAAAUCCUGCAGGUCUUCAAAACUUUCAGGCUUUCAAAUCGUCUGUACAUUUGGGUGGCCUGGAGAAGUUUAGGAUGUGUUUUGCUCCGACUGCAGUUGGAAUUGUAUGCCAACCCUUGGCUGUUUCUUGGUGCUUUAACAAGUUGGUGAGCUUGCAGCCAGGUGCCUGGGCUGGGAUCCACCGUGGGCAGUCGGCGCCGGUGCUGUGUUUCUGCAGCACAGGAGCAGGGCCAUCCCUGGGCUGCACAGUUCUAAUGGCAGUGAGGACUCCAGCUCCCCACUGUGUCCAGUGGCUGAGCUCAGCUGCAGAGGGACAGGAUAAAACCCUCUUUGUGACCUCUGGUGGUGUGGGAAAAGUGAAGGAAAUUUUCCUCUGGGUUGAACAAGAAAGUCACAAAGUCUCUUUGGUCACCAUCUGUUUCAGUGCCACCAGCACAGAGCUCUUACUAUGGUGGCAGGCACUUUCAUGGAGACUCCAAGGCCUCUUUCCAUUGUUAUUGCUGUCUAUUUUAGAUGGAUUCUGCUUCUGCAUUUUUUAAAAGAGGAGAAAAAAAAACCUUGAUGAUUUUUGUUUUAUGGCAGCUGUGCUUAAGGGACCAAUAAGCACUGCAGAGAUUCUUUUCAUGUAAUAAUCCUUGGAAAUAGUAUAGAUAGAGCAAACCUCCCCUUCCAAAUUGCCUGUCAGGUGUGUGUGAAUCCUCAGAGAAACAAAACAUGCUUUUGGUGAUGUAGUUCCCACUGAGUAGGUCAGUCAAUGAAAUCAGCUGCCAAGGCAAGAUCUGCUGAAUGUUGGAAAAGCUGUGGCUGCAUCGGGGUUUGGGUGUUUGGUUGGUAAAGGAAAGGCAUCUCUGGGUCUCUGCCAGGGCAGAAACUGCCACCGAAGAACAGGGGUUAAACAGUGGGAUCUGGGAGAGCAGUUACAGAUGUGAAAGCAGCAGGUGGAGACUCGUGUUUCCUUUUCCCCAGCCUCGACUCGUGAUAGCCAGACGAGGGAUACCAAAGCUGCUGCAGCCCAACCUGUUUUCACCUUGGCUGUGUGACUUCCUGAGCUGCUGCCUGCAGACAGACAAGGAGCGGCGCUGGUCUGCCAAGGAGCUCCUGCAGCAUCCAUUUGUAAGAUUUGCUGAGCCUGCAUCCAGCCUGGUGCCACUGAUUGUUUCAGUGAAGAAGAGGAAAGACCAAAGAAACUGAAAAUCACAUCAGGACCAUUUACUUCUCAACCGGCACAGGGCAGGAUUGUAGGUUCGGACAAGGGUUAGGGUUAGGGUUAGAGUUGGGGUUAGGGUUAGGGUUGGGGUUAGGGUUAGGGUUGGGGUUAGGGUUAGGGUCAGGGUCAGGGUUAGGGUUAGGACUAGAGUUAGGACGAGGGUUAGGACUAGGAUUAAGGUACAGGUUAGGGUUUAGGAGUAGGCUUAGGUUUCGGUUAUGAUUGUCUAAUAGGCCUGCUGAUUAGAAAUUAAUAAAGUUUCUGAAACCAAAACUCUCCCUGAAAUUUCCUUCCUUCUCACUCUUUGAAUAAGCUCUUGAUUUCCUUGUAAAUUUUCUUUUGUUUCUUAAAGGU